CUCUACUGCACAUUCAAUGUAGUUUCCUCAUGCCGUCAACAGACUUGGUCCUCCAGAAUGGAUUAGCUGGGCCUGUGUCACAGAAGCCUUGACCAUCUGGGUGUUAUUCUUCCAUCCAUCGGAAGAAAGGCUCAUGGAAAAGUAACACACACUUCACUGAAGCAUAGUGACGAAAUACCCAAAAGCACGAUUGAGAAUCUGUUCUAUCAGUACAUCUGGGAUGCUGCCAGACCUGCUGAGCUUCUCCAGCAACUUUGUUUUUGUUCCUGGUAUACAGCAUCCGCAGUUCUUUUGGUUUUUGUAAGAGGAUCAAUGCUGGGCAAGUUUAUUUGGAAUGAAUUGACGGUGCAACAAUGGAAGGUCGACGUAAUCAAAUGAUUCAUGAACACAAAAGUUGUGUAAAUCGAAACUUGUGUCACGUUAUAACAAUAUGUUCUUCGAUGCUGGGCUUCGGGUUUAAUAAGCCUGUGAAACAUGGCGUUCAGACUGUCCUAGAGGUACGGCCCUCCAGCUCGGGUGGUUUAACCAGCACGU